rfam:Rattus norvegicus chromosome X, whole genome shotgun sequence.
GGGGAUUUAGCUCAGCGGUAGAGCGCUUGCCUAGCAGGCACAAGGCCCUGGGUUCGAUCCCCAGCUCCG